rnacentral:rRNA from 1 species
AGAGUUUGAUCCUGGCUCAGGAUGAACGCUGGCGGCGUGCUUAACACAUGUAAGUCGAACGAAGCACUUAAGAAUGAUUCUUCGGAUGAAUUUUUUUGUGACUUAGUGGCGGACGGGUGAGUAACGCGUGGGUAACCUGCCUCACACAGGGGGAUAACAGUUGGAAACGACCGCUAAUACCGCAUAACCCGCUAGGGCCGCAUGGCCCGGACGGAAAAGAUUUAUCGGUGUGAGAUGGACCCGCGUUGGAUUAGCUAGUUGG